rnacentral:rRNA from 1 species
UCUGACGGAGCACGCCGCGUGAGUGAUGAAGGUUUUCGGAUCGUAAAGCUCUGUUGUUAGGGAAGAACAAGUGCCGUUCAAAUAGGGCGGCACCUUGACGGUACCUAACCAGAAAGCCACGGCUAACUACGUGCCAGCAGCCGCGGUAAUACGUAGGUGGCAAGCGUUGUCCGGAAUUAUUGGGCGUAAAGGGCUCGCAGGCGGUUUCUUAAGUCUGAUGUGAAAGCCCCCGGCUCAACCGGGGAGGGUCAUUGGAAACUGGGGAACUUGAGUGCAGAAGAGGAGAGUGGAAUUCCACGUGUAGCGGUGAAAUGCGUAGAGAUGUGGAGGAACACCAGUGGCGAAGGCGACUCUCUGGUCUGUAACUGACGCUGAGGAGCGAAAGCGUGGGGAGCGAACAGGAUUAGAUACC